GAGUCUUUACAAAAUAGCUGCUUCAUAAUCAAGGCAAAUAAUGGCCACUCAUGUUGGUUAUGGCUGCUGAUAAAAUGAGUCGUUCCUUACAAAUGCACUCAUUUGCAAGCACAUCAAUUCGGUAUGUGUGAACAAAACCAGGCAGUUUUUUCAGACAACCUGGAGAGCUCUGAGAUUUCAACCUAGGAAUCCAGACACUCCAGCCUGACCUAUGAUCUGUGGGUAGGUUUAUAUCCCAAGUUCAAUUAUCUUCAAAUGGAAUCUACAUACAGGACAAAAUAGCAUCAAAAGCAAGGAUACAGGGAUGUUAAGUCUGCAGCU
rnacentral:lncRNA from 1 species